rnacentral:rRNA from 1 species
CCUACGGGUGGCUGCAGUCGGGAAUUUUGGGCAAUGGGGGAAACCCUGACCCAGCAACGCCGCGUGAAGGAUGAAGUAUUUCGGUAUGUAAACUUCGAAAGAAUAGGAAGAAUAAAUGACGGUACUAUUUAUAAGGUCCGGCUAACUACGUGCCAGCAGCCGCGGUAAUACGUAGGGACCAAGCGUUGUUCGGAUUUACUGGGCGUAAAGGGCGCGUAGGCGGCAUGACAAGUCACUUGUGAAAUUUCCGGGCUUAACUCGGAGCGGCCAAGUGA